rnacentral:rRNA from 1 species
GUGCCAGCAGCCGCGGUAAUACGUAGGAUCCAAGCGUUGUCCGGAUUUACUGGGUGUAAAGGGUGCGUAGGCGGACUGGAAAGUCAGCAGUGAAAUCUCGCCGCUCAACGGCGAAACGUCUGUUGAUACUUCCAGUCUUGAAUCAGCGAGAGACGUGUGGAAUUCCGAGUGUAGCAGUGAAAUGUGUAGAUAUUCGGAAGAACACCAGUGGCGAAGGCAGCACGUUGGCGCUCGAUUGACGCUCAGGCACGAAAGCAUGGGGAUCAAACAGGAUUAGAUACCCUGGUAGUCC